rnacentral:rRNA from 1 species
AUUGAACGCUGGCGGCAGGCCUAACACAUGCAAGUCGAGCGGAGCGGCGGACGGGUGAGUAAUGCCUAGGAAUCUGCCUGGUAGUGGGGGAUAACGUCCGGAAACGGGCGCUAAUACCGCAUACUAUCAGAUGAGCCUAGGUCGGUUUAGCUAGUGGGUGGGGUAAAGGCCUACCAAGGCGACGAUCCGUAACUGGUCUGAGAGGAUGAUCGGUCAAAUGGGAACUGAGCAACGGUCAAGACUCCUAGGGGAGGCAGCAGUGGGGAAUAUUGGAAAAUGGGCGAAAGCCUGAUCAAGCCAUGCCGCGUGUGUGAAGAAGGUCUUGGGAUUGUAAAGCACGUUAAGUUGGGAGGCGUUACCAACAGAAUAAGCACCGGCUAACUUCGUGCCAGCAGCCGCGGUAAUAC